CCUUGGUGCUGUGGCUCUUUGUCAGUCACCCAAACCCUUCAGUGAUUUGAUAUGGGAAUAAAUCACAUGGACUCCAUUUUCUUCAUGGAGAAAAGGCCAUUCUUUAUUCACAUAACUCCUUUUUGCACCAUUUUAACCUCGUGAGUGACUCCAGUUGGCUAGCAGCUUUCUUGCUAAUUAGUUUAUUGUUUCCAGUGCUGAAAUCUCUUGAAACUUUCUGUGUGCUAUAAUAGAAGAAGAUUCUCUGCAAUACAUUGAUGUUAUAUCCUGAUUCUUUAUAUAUCCUGGCUCUUCUUUGUGCUCUGUUCUGCACUGCUUGCCUUAGCAAAAAAAGGAAAAUUUCAAGUCUGGUCUCUGCAGCCUUUUCUUCACAAACAAAAAAGAGAUAAUGACGAGGUAAAUCACAGAUGUCAGAUCAUGUCAUUGUGUUACUCUGAGAAGGGAAAUGUGUGUUAACCAGAGAGUUUACAAGUCAUACAAGCUAGAGGACAAUUAAGCAUGAGGAUUGCUAAUCAGGCAUUGAGUAAUAAAGCAAUGAAUGAACUGAAGGAAAUCCAAAGCAUGGGUUGUACACUCAUCUGGAGCUCCCUGGGAACAGGAAUCUGGCACUGACAUCAUUUUGUCCUGUAGAAAGCAAACAUCUGCCUUGCUGGAAUUAAAAAGUAGCACUGCAUGCUGUGGGUAGGACUUAUUUUAAGGAAUAUUAUCCAGAAAAAAGAGUGGAAUUUGUCCUCCUGACUCGAUUGCUCCAGUUUCUCUGGUAAUCCUUGGAAGCAAACAGAUCCUCCAAGGACACAGUGAAAAAUCUCUCUCCACCUGAGAGCCUUCAUUUCAGGAAGGAAAACCUUUGGAAGCUUUUAUAUCUUCCCUCUAACUUUGGCAUAAAUAAUACUCAGAGUUAGGCAGGCUGGUCCUUACUCCCAGUUUACACCCUGGAAUGGGAAUUGCACUCUGUGUUAGCCAGGCUGCCUAAUGCACCUCUGAGGGUGUUCAGCCCCUGCCAGGAGACUGGUGCUGAAAUUCCAGCUGGUUGGACUUUCCUGAUAAACUUCUCACACUGGGAAACUUUGAUAUGUCACAAAUACUCUCAAAGAAUACCAUUAUUAUUAUUACUUUUUUAUUAGCAUUAGCAAUAUUAAUUGUGCUUGCUGCUGGUGGGUUUGUUCUCUAUUACAUCCCAAGGAGAAAGACUGAUUUUAAUUUUUUUUUUUUAUUUAAAAGUGUCUUCUGGAUUUGAAAACUCCUCUCUGCUGUGGUCUCUGUGACUUGCAGCAGAUGGCUGAGGGAUAUUUCCUGCCUAAGGAGGAAUAUUUUGGGAUGGUGAGGUGAGGGGUGUGGCACUGAGCUUUUAAAGAGCUCCAUCAUUUAAUUCAAGGUCCAAGCAUAAAAGUGUUCAGACAUUCUUUUUGAUCUCCUCAGAAGGAAUUUCACUAUAUGAAUGCAAUUCUCAAACAAAAAAAAUCUGCCCAGCGACUUCCAUGGACCUUUCUGAUUUCAGAAUCUUGCUCUACCUUAAAAAUAAUUACAGCUUCUCAUGUCUCCUGCUGAAUUUCCUCCCCAUUCAGCCGAGGUACAGCCAUGGAAGGAGCAAUUAAAGCAAGCUGAGAGGAAGAGCAACGUGGGCUCUGUGUGUGGGAUGGUUUCCAGGUGGGAUGGCUUUCAUAAGUGCCUUAAAAAACAUUCUGCCACAUGGUUCUUUAGAGGCCUCCCCACAGAAGCAGCUCAAUUAUUCAUUCAGAGCAGAAACUGUUUUAUUACAUGUCUUGUAGUUCCAAUGGUUCCACUGAAAUGUGGGACACUCUGCUCUCAACAAGGUUCUGGUAUUUGCAUUUGUACUUGCACUUGUCCUGUGGAGCAGUAAAAGAGUUGCCAACACCA